rnacentral:rRNA from 1 species
UACAGAGGGAGCGAGCGUUGUUCGGAAUUACUGGGCGUAAAGGGCGCGUAGGCGGUCCGAUAAGUCCCGUGUGAAAUCCCUCGGCUCAACUGAGGAAUGGCACGGGAAACUGACGGGUUUGAGUUCGGGAGAGGGAAGCGGAAUUCCGGGUGUAGCGGUGAAAUGCGUAGAUAUCGUAAGGAAGACCAGUGGCGAAGGCGGCUCAGCUGGUCCGGUACUGACGCUGAGGAGCGAAAGCCAGGGGAGCAAACGGG